rnacentral:lncRNA from 1 species
CUCUUCCUGCCUCUGUCUUCUAGGUGCUAGAAUUAAAGGGGUACACCACGAUGCCCAGCAACACUUUUUAAUUUUAGAUGAGUUCUUUCUAAGUUACCCAAAUAGGCUUUGAACUUGAGAUCCUCCUGCCUCAGCGUCCUGAGUAGGUAUGUAACAAGCCUGUUGGACCAUCAUUCCUAAUCAUACACUUUAUAUUUAACGUCAAGAUAUGAAGUCUCAAAUCUAGCUCUUUAUUUAAACUGGCUUGUGCUCUGAUUUCUAUCAAAGCAAAGCAGCCGACCCACAAAACCUUCCAACUAAAAUGUGUUCCACCUACAAGAAAUGCAGGGACCAAGAUAUAGCAAAGACUGAGGGAAUGACCAGUCAAUAACUGGCCCCACUAGAGGCCCAUCCCAUAGGCAAGAACCAAUCCCUAAUACUAUUAAUGAUAUUCUGUUAUGCUUGCAGUCAGGAACCUAGCACAACUGUCCUCUAAGAAGCUUCACUCAGCAGCUGACUGAACAGACACCCACAGCCAAACAUUAGACAGUUCAGGGAGUCUUGUGGAAGAUUUGGGGGAAGGAUUGAAGAACCCAGAGGGGAUAGACUCCACAGGAAGACUAACAGAGUUAACUAACCCUUGGGGGCUUCCAGAGGUUGAACUACCAACCAAAUAGCGAGCAUGGGCUGGACCUAGCCCACCCCACCCCCUGCACAUAUGUAGCAGAUAUAGCUUGGUUUUCAUGUGGGUCCCC